GUGCAGUAUCUCCUGCUUUGGAACUUACUAGAUAAACUAAAUAGAAAGAGUUAAAGAAAUUAAAACAAAAUAUUUACUAGAUAAACUUCCUCUGGAGUGAUUCACAUAUAACUUACCCUGUAGUUUUAUAACUUAGGCUCAAUCUAAUCUAUAUGCAAACAUCAAUGACAUUAGUGGAGCAAAGCAAAUCUCUGAUGGGUUGCAUGAUAAGAGUGAUUUACUAUGGAGCUUGCUGAUGCUUGUAAGACAAGAGGUCUUGCUAUUGGACAAUGGAAUAGCCUUCAAUAAGGCAAUAAUGGAUGAAAGAGAGCUACAUUCAUCAAAUCCAACUAUAAAUUGGAGAAGUGAUCAAUGAAAUUUGUAAAGAUCUUGGUGUUCACCACUAGGGAGUCAUGAUUGGUAAGUUAACUAGUUCAUAGAGUUGCAAAUUUCUGUUUACUCAAGUUAUUCAUGUAUAUCUAAACAGACUUGUAGUUUUAGUCCACGAACAUGGAGCCCUUAUGUUUCUUUAUAUCGAUUAAACCAUGUGUAUAUGCAAUUAUUCGUUUAGCA